CUUCGGUUUCGUUGGUAAAUAAAGAGCACCUUCUGGAAAUCCUGCUUUUUGAGUCAUGCCUUCCGCCUGCACCAGCACCCAGCCCGACAGAAACAAAAUGAACCGGACACUAAAAAAAGCACCCUGACCCUCCUCCGUUUGACUGCUGUGGCCUGAAAUGAAUGACACAAGGGAGCGGCCCUUUCUAGCUAAAGACAGGGGAAAAGGGCGUGAUAUGGAAGCAAAUUCCCGCAGCAUCUGCAGGCGCAGCGGUGCCACUGCAACGUUAUUCUGGCUCACAGCGAGCGAUCGGCUGGAACCACAGCUGCCAGACGCAGGAGGGUGUGACGGGCCGACAGACAGAGCGGGCCGCUGUUAUUUCAGCGUGCGCGGGCCCCCAGUGCAGUUAUUGUUCAUGAUGAUGAUGAUGAU